UGCAGUCGAGCGGUAACAUUUCUAGCUUGCUAGAAGAUGACGAGCGGCGGACGGGUGAGUAAUGCUUGGGAAUAUGCCUUAGGGUGGGGGACAACAGUUGGAAACGACUGCUAAUACCGCAUAACGUCUACGGACCAAAGGGGGCUUCGGCUCUCGCCCUUAGAUUAGCCCAAGUGGGAUUAGCUAGUUGGUGAGGUAAUGGCUCACCAAGGCGACGAUCCCUAGCUGGUUUGAGAGGAUGAUCAGCCACACUGGAACUGAGACACGGUCCAGACUCCUACGGGAGGCAGCAGUGGGGAAUAUUGCACAAUGGGCGCAAGCCUGAUGCAGCCAUGCCGCGUGUGUGAAGAAGGCCUUAGGGUUGUAAAGCACUUUCAGUAAGGAGGAAAGGUUAGUAGUUAAUACCUGCUAGCUGUGACGUUACUUACAGAAGAAGCACCGGCUAACUCCGUGCCAGCAGCCGCGGUAAUACGGAGGGUGCGAGCGUUAAUCGGAAUUACUGGGCGUAAAGCGUACGCAGGCGGUUUGUUAAGCGAGAUGUGAAAGCCCCGGGCUCAACCUGGGAACUGCAUUUCGAACUGGCAAACUAGAGUAUGAUAGAGGGUGGUAGAAUUUCAGGUGUAGCGGUGAAAUGCGUAGAGAUCUGAAGGAAUACCGAUGGCGAAGGCAGCCACCUGGGUCAAUACUGACGCUCAUGUACGAAAGCGUGGGGAGCAAACGGGAUUAGAUACCCCGGUAGUCCACGCCGUAAACGAUGUCUACUAGGAGCUGGGGUCUUCGGACAACUUUUCCAAAGCUAACGCAUUAAGUAGACCGCCUGGGGAGUACGGCCGCAAGGUUAAAACUCAAAUGAAUUGACGGGGGCCCGCACAAGCGGUGGAGCAUGUGGUUUAAUUCGAUGCAACGCGAAGAACCUUACCUACACUUGACAUACAGAGAACUUACCAGAGAUGGUUUGGUGCCUUCGGGAACUCUGAUACAGGUGCUGCAUGGCUGUCGUCAGCUCGUGUUGUGAGAUGUUGGGUUAAGUCCCGCAACGAGCGCAACCCCUAUCCUUAGUUGCCAGCGAUUCGGUCGGGAACUCUAAGGAGACUGCCGGUGAUAAACCGGAAGAAGGUGGGGACAACGUCAAGUCAUCAGGGCCCUUACGUGUAGGGCUACCAACGUGCU
rnacentral:rRNA from 1 species